CACUGAGAAACUUUUACAAAGCCUGAAAUAGUAUUCAAAAUAUGACGCUUUUUAAGCUUGGCUUCUUUUUUUCUAUCCUUCUCAUGACAAACAUCAUCAAUGUAUCAUGGCUCUCAAAAACACAAGUUUUGUCUGCACGAGAUGUAGAUUACAAUCUCUCAGGACUCAAGAAGAGACUACUCCCACAGCUUGAUCUUGAGUGGACUUGUGGAAGACUAUGUACUUCUGACAGUGAGUGCAAGGAUUGCUGGAUUUGUUGCUGGUGUGUUUUUGAUAGUACUGUAGAUGCGAUUAAUAAUCGUUGUGGAAUAUAGGUGCAUAUAGUACAUUGGUUUCUAAUUGCAACAGAAUAUUCUACAAUAUCUGUUAAGCAAUUGUAUUUCCAUGUAAUUUUAAUGCUUUCCUUGUUUUCUUAUCUUCAGUUAAUUAUUUGUAUGAAAUAAUGAAGAAAACCAAGUGCGUGACUCUAUUCAGGAAUAAUGAUGGAUUUUGAUAAAAA